GAUGAACGCUAGCUACAGGCUUAACACAUGCAAGUCGAGGGGUAACGAGAGGAAAGCUUGCUUUCCUUGUCGACGACCGGCGCACGGGAGAGUAACGCGUAUCCAACCUGCCCCCAACAAGGGAAUAACCUUGCGAAAGUAAGACUAAUACCCUAUAAUUUCCUCAGAUGUCCUCUGACGAGCAAUAAAGAUUUAUCGGUUGUGGAUGGGGAUGCGUCUGAUUAGCUUGUUGGCGGGGUAACGGCCCACCAAGGCAACGAUCAGUAGGGGUUCUGAGAGGAAGGUCCCCCACAUUGGAACUGAGACACGGUCCAAACUCCUACGGGAGGCAGCAGUGAGGAAUAUUGGUCAAUGGGCGGAAGCCUGAACCAGCCAAGUAGCGUGCAGGAUGACGGCCCUAUGGGUUGUAAACUGCUUUUAUACAGGAAUAAAGUUAGCCACGUGUGGUUAUUUGUAGGUACUGUAUGAAUAAGGACCGGCUAAUUCCGUGCCAGCAGCCGCGGUAA
rnacentral:rRNA from 1 species